GUGUGAGGUAAUCGAUCGGUGAG
rnacentral:piRNA from 1 species